CUAAGACGGUGCUUACCUCAACAACGUCUUUGAAAGUAGGCAUUCUAAGACGUUGCUGAUGUAAGCACCGUCUUAGAAUGCCUACUUUCAAAGACAAUGUUGAUGUAAGCACCGUCUUU
rfam:Glycine soja cultivar W05 scaffold1485_19, whole genome shotgun sequence.